rfam:Medicago truncatula strain A17 chromosome 7, whole genome shotgun sequence.
CUAUCUUUCUCGUUCUUUUGGUUAAGAUUAAGUGUAGUAUAUGUUCUUUUUAGUUUAAUAUAUGAUAUGUGGGCCAAUGGUCACACAAUAUUAAAUUUAUUUCUUGAGGGGGAGAGUUUGUUGGGUCACGAAGGGUGUUCGGGGUCCAUCUAUUCAUCAUGCUUCCCUUUCAAGCGGAAGCUCUUACU